rnacentral:rRNA from 1 species
GACGAACGCUGGCGGCGCGCCUAACACAUGCAAGUCGAACGAGAGAUGAGGAGCUUGCUCUUCAGAUCGAGUGGCGAACGGGUGAGUAACGCGUGAGGAACCUGCCUCAAAGAGGGGGACAACAGUUGGAAACGACUGCUAAUACCGCAUAAGCCCACAGCUCGGCAUCGAGCAGAGGGAAAAGGAGCAAUCCGCUUUGAGAUGGCCUCGCGUCCGAUUAGCUAGUUGGUGAGGUAACGGCCCACCAAGGCGACGAUCGGUAGCCGGACUGAGAGGUUGAACGGCCACAUUGGGACUGAGACACGGCCCAGACUCCUACGGGAGGCAGCAGUGGGGAAUAUUGCACAAUGGGGGAAACCCUGAUGCAGCGACGCCGCGUGGAGGAAGAAGGUCUUCGGAUUGUAAACUCCUGUUGUUGAGGAAGAUAAUGACGGUACUCAACAAGGAAGUGACGGC